AUUGAACGCUGGCGGCAUGCCUUACACAUGCAAGUCGAACGGCAGCACGGGAGCAAUCCUGGUGGCGAGUGGCGAACGGGUGAGUAAUAUAUCGGAACGUGCCCGGUCGUGGGGGAUAACGUAGCGAAAGCUACGCUAAUACCGCAUACGAUCUACGGAUGAAAGCGGGGGAUCGCAAGACCUCGCGCGAUUGGAGCGGCCGAUAUCAGAUUAGGUAGUUGGUGAGGUAAAGGCUCACCAAGCCGACGAUCUGUAGCUGGUCUGAGAGGACGACCAGCCACACUGGGACUGAGACACGGCCCAGACUCCUACGGGAGGCAGCAGUGGGGAAUUUUGGACAAUGGGCGCAAGCCUGAUCCAGCAAUGCCGCGUGCAGGAUGAAGGCCUCGGUGUAG
rnacentral:rRNA from 1 species